CCUACGGGAGGCUGCAGUGGGGAAUAUUGGACAAUGGGCGAAAGCCUGAUCCAGCCAUGCCGCGUGUGUGAAGAAGGCCUUCGGGUUGUAAAGCACUUUCAGUGGGGAAGAAAGCCUUGGGGCUAAUACCCUCGAGGAAGGACAUCACCCACAGAAUAAGCACCGGCUAACUCCGUGCCAGCAGCCGCGGUAAUACGGAGGGUGCGAGCGUUAAUCGGAAUUACUGGGCGUAAAGCGCGCGUAGGCGGUCUGAUAAGCCGGUUGUGAAAGCCCCGGGCUCAACCUGGGAACGGCAUCCGGAACUGUCAGGCUAGAGUGCAGGAGAGGAAGGUAGAAUUCCCGGUGUAGCGGUGAAAUGCGUAGAGAUCGGGAGGAAUACCAGUGGCGAAGGCGGCCUUCUGGACUGACACUGACGCUGAGGUGCGAAAGCGUGGGUAGCAAACAGGAUUAGAUACCCGGGUAGUC
rnacentral:rRNA from 1 species